CGGACGGGUGAGUAAUGUCUGGGAAACUGCCUGAUGGAGGGGGAUAACUACUGGAAACGGUAGCUAAUACCGCAUAACGUCGCAAGACCAAAGAGGGGGACCUUCGGGCCUCUUGCCAUCGGAUGUGCCCAGAUGGGAUUAGCUAGUAGGUGGGGUAACGGCUCACCUAGGCGACGAUCCCUAGCUGGUCUGAGAGGAUGACCAGCCACACUGGAACUGAGACACGGUCCAGACUCCUACGGAAGGCAGCAG
rnacentral:rRNA from 1 species